GCGCAAUCCUCCUGCCAAGUAGCUCAUACAUAGACAUGUGCUAUCGGUGCCUUAUCGGCGUUAUUGCAAUAACGAUCGUGCGUCAAUAUUCGAAUAUAUGUAAGACAUUACUUACUCACUUGAGAAAGACUGCGGAGUGUCCAGACGCGCAAGGUCGACAUAAAAGAGCCAUGGAACGGAGGUCACACACGCUGAGCGCUCUCUCACUUCUGUACCUGGUGUCAGUAGCCUUGGCUAAUGUGGCAUUCAAGGACAAGUACGAAGUCAAGUUCAAAGACGAUGUCAAAGACAAUUUCGGAGAGGAAAGAGAGGAAACAAAGGAAAUCACAAGAGAGGAAACAAAGGAACUCACAAGAAAGGAAACAAAGGAAAUCACAAGAAAGGAAACAAAGGAAAUCACAAGAGAGGAAAGACAGGAAGUACAGCCUGCACUUGUCCUUGGAGCAGGACCGAUAGCUGGUAUCGUUAUAGUCGGCAUAGCAGCGAUCCUCACCUCCAUCGGGCUUUGCAAGCUCUGUGCGCACCUCCGAAAGUAGACGACAGUGACCAACACCACCGUGGUGAUGCAACCUGUGCAAUAAGGACAGCCAAUGGCUGCAGCCUACCUUGUCAGCGCGUAUCCUCAACAAGUGCAACCAAAUCCAUCCACUGGCAUGCCUCCUCCAGCAUAUGAGCUCAAGCAACAAGCAUAAGAUCGUGCAAUGUAGUCGCCGCGGUGUUUUCUACGCUGUAACACACUAAACACAAUGCAGAUUUAGCCUUU